CUGGGUUUAAUGAUUUAAGUUUUAUAACAUAAGUAACAUAUAAUACAAGAAAAACUAAUUGAUGUGUUAUGGUAUAACUGCGUCGGCAAAGACACGAAAAGUAAAUAUGAGGUCUGCUUUCGAUUAGCAAGGACUUGAAUGGUGCCUGCAAAAAAAUAAAAACAAAAAAAGAACCAUUGAGUUCUGUGGAUCGCACGAAUGGGUAUUUCCUUCCCUUUUAUCAUUCCACACUUUUCCUUCUUUCUCACUCUUCUUUUUUGCUCCUUUCCUCUCUCUUGAUCCGCGGUGAGCAUAGCAAAUUCAAUCUUUCAGUGGAGCGAUCAAUCCAUUUCUUGGGGGAUUUUGCUAAUUACAGCCACUGGGUUUGGUUUCUUUAUCUUUCUGUCAGAUCAAGUAUCUACAAUGAUAUUGAAAAGAAGACAAAACUAACCUUAGAAAGAGCAAAUGGUAAAACAAGAUUCAUGUGUAGCCACUUUGAAGCAUUUUGUGAAGCCACUUUGAAGUUAUAAUUGAGAUGAAAUUUUGUUGAGUUGAGUUACGUGUUCUUCCAUUUAACCUUGACUCAGUGUUGUCCAAUGGCUGCUAUAGGAGCCCUAGAAGCCUCAUCAACUCGAUUUUCUUAUCACGUGUGCUUGAGUUUUAGAGGUGAAGACACCCGGAAUACCUUUACUGAUCACCUUUACAGAGCGCUACUAUGUGCAGGAAUACUCACAUUUAGGGAUGACGAAGGACUAGAGAGAGGUCAGACUAUCGCUUUAGAACUAAAUAAGGCAAUCCAAGAGUCGAUGAUUUCAAUAAUUGUCUUCUCAAAAGACUAUGCAUAUUCAAGAUGGUGUCUUGAUGAGCUUCUGAAUAUCCUUGAGCACAAGAAGACGGUUGGUCAUAUGAUUCUGCCCGUCUUCUAUCACGUGGAUCCAUCAAAUGCAAGAGAGCAGACAGGGAGUUUUGCAAAUGCAUUUGCUAUACACGAAGAGUGAGUUAAGGUAGAGAGAGAAGAAAUAAAAGAGGAGGGGUUGGACAAGAUAAAGAGGUGGAAGGCAGCUCUUAGAGAAGUUGCAGAUUUGGCAUGGAUGGUUUUAAUAGAUGGGUAAUUUCCUUGAAGAGUUAAUAGUAUUGAUUGAAUACUUCCAAAUUAUUCACCCCAUUAUAUGCUAAUGGUACCCAUUCUCCACAUGAUUUCUUAAUGCUAAUGUUUUAAACUAGUCGAAAUAUACGGAAACACUAUCAAUAUAAUCUAUAUAUUAUUUAUUAUUAUUUUUAAUUCACACACACAAUAUAUAUACUUUUAGUCAAAGUAUCCAUAAAUAUGAAAGUUUGACACCAUCCAAAAUUGAUAGAAUAGUUAAAUUAGAUGCAGAAGACUUGAUACAUAAUGUGAUGUAUUAUUACUGUCUUAUUUUAGAAUUUAUGGUAUAGUGGUGUCCAAAUACUGGAUGUUGAGUCUAGAAACUUAUUAUAUGAGAUUUCUUACAUUAUUAAGAAUUUGACUUUAUUGAAUGUACUACACCAUUGAUAUAGAGAUUUGAUCAUUAGAAGAUUUCUAUUUAGAAGGAAAGAACAAGAAGAAAAAAGAAAAGAUGGAUCGAACAUGAAAGGGUAAAACGAACAUGUUUAAUCUUUUUUAAUUUUAACUCAAGGAUUAUGAAGGUCAUAAUAAGUAUAAAACAAAUUAUAAACAUAUCUGGAAUCAAAAUAAAAAGAAGAAAAGCUGGGUAUGAGUUAAAAGUGCUUCAGUAUCUUAAACUUUAAGGUGUUUAAAAUUACAUAAAAGCAAUCUGAAAGAAUAAAGAUUCUAAAAUUUCUGGAAAUAAGUAGAUGAGGCCUAAAGUCCAGAAAUAUCAUUGAAAUUCUGAAUAACAUGGCUCUUUUCAUAAACUUGCUUAUUUGACUUGGAAUCUGAAUUUCAUGAAUGUUGUAUUUUCUUAUUUUUUUUCUGUCAGAUAUCUUUAACAUUAUAUAAUCUAUGUAAUUCUGUCAAUUCGAGAUUGUCAUAAUUAUCAGCAGUCUAUAUUAUUGUAUAUGAAUCGUAAUGGCCAAAAUUGAACCCCAUGUAAUUUGUUUUAUAUAUA